GAUGAACGCUGGCGGCGUGCCUAACACAUGCAAGUCGAACGGACCUGGAAAGAAGCUUGCUUUUUUCCAGGUUAGUGGCGGACGGGUGAGUAACGCGUGGGUAACCUGCCCCAUACAGGGGGAUAACAGUUAGAAAUGACUGCUAAAACCGCAUAACAUGGCGGAGCCGCAUGACUCAGCCAUCAAAUAUUUAUAGGUAUGGGAUGGGCCCGCGUCUGAUUAGCUAGUUGGCGGGGUAAAGGCCCACCAAGGCAGCGAUCAGUAGCCGGCUUGAGAGAGUGAACGGCCACAUUGGGACUGAGACACGGCCCAAACUCCUACGGGAGGCAGCAGUGGGGAAUAUUGGUCAAUGGGGGGAACCCUGAACCAGCGACGCCGCGUGAGUGAAGAAGUAUUUCGGUAUGUAAAGCUCUAUCAGCAGGGAAGAUAAUGACAGUACCUGACUAAGAAGCACCGGCUAAAUACGUGCCAGCAGCCGCGGUAAUACGUAUGGUGCAAGCGUUAUC
rnacentral:rRNA from 1 species